ACUCAGACGCACGUCCUUCCUCCCUCAGUAAGCCACGUCGACCACUCCCUCUCUCUGCCUUGCCGAUUCUCAGUGUGAAGCACCAAACUAAUUUCUCUUCUCUCCCUAUGUCGCACCACCAUGUUCAGAGGAAGCCUCCAGUUGCGCCGCUAUGACUCCCAGCCAGCCACCCAGGCCCACCGUCACAGUUGGUUCUCCUCCCUCUCGGUACCAAGCUACGAAGUAGGAUUCAAGAAGCAACGCUAAAAGGUAAGUAGAAUGAUCAUAACUUCAUGUGUGCUGUAAAUAUUCUGAUUUUGCAUGAAAAAUGUGAUGUUACCUCCGCUACGCUACGAGCCAAUUCAAGGUUAGCCCCUUUUCAUGAACCUCGAUGAAUUACAAUGAUAUGCUUGUGAAUAAGACUAUGGAUGCUAUGCUGAUAUGGAUUAUUGUUGGAUGGAUGAGAUGUUAUGAAAAUCACACAUAUGCCAUGUGAUGUUUAGAUCAUGUUAUGCCAUGCCCAUGCUAUGCUAUGUUGUGUAAGACUCGUGUUAAUAUAUCAUGCUUAAUGUUAUGCCAUGCCCAUGCUAUGCUAUGUUGUGUAAGACUCGUGUUAAUAUAUCAUGCUUAAUGUUAUGCCAUGCAUAAGAGUAUGCCAUGCCAUGUAAAUUCAUGAAGUCAAACAUGUUCUCACGCAUUAUGAAAGUUAGUAAAAAAAAACACAUGAAUGACAAGCAAACUUUAAGAUGCCUUAUGUUAUGGGUGGAUGUGCAAGCCACAGACUCAAGCGUAGUCCACCACAUGAAAGAUAUGUUGUUUUGAGGUGAAACGGACCCAAAAUUGUUUCACCACAAGUUUUGAUAUGAGGUGCCACGAACUCAAGCGUGGUUUACCAUAUGUUAUGUGAUAACACGGACCCAAACGUGUUUCACUACAUGUUAUGAUACGUUAGACGGUGUCAUGGACCUAAGCAUGGUUUAUCCUAUGUUAUGAUAUGUUAUAUACGGUUGGACAUACGU